rnacentral:rRNA from 1 species
GACGAACGCUGGCGGCGUGCUUAACACAUGCAAGUCGAACGGAAAGGCCCUGCUUUUGUGGGGCGCUCGUGUGGCGAACGGGUGAGUAACACGUGAGUAACCUGCCCUUGACUUUGGGAUAACUUCAGGAAAAUCGGGCUAAUACCGGGUAGGAGCUCCUGCUGCACGGUGGGGGAUGGAAAGAUUCGGCGGUUGGGUAUGGACUCGCGGCUUAUCAGCUUGUUGGUGGGGUUGUGGCUUACCAAGGCUUCGACGGGUAGCCGGCCUGAGAGGGUGACCGGCCACAUUGGGACUGAGAUACGGCCCAGACUCCUACGGGAGGCAGCGGUGGGGAAUAUUACAGAGUGGGCGGAAGCCUGAUGCGGCAACGCCGCGUGCGGGAUAACGGCCUUCGGGUUGUAAACCGAUUUCGCCGUUGACGAAGCGUGAGUGACGGUAAUUGGUAAAGAAGCACCGGCUAACUACGUG